rnacentral:rRNA from 1 species
GACGUAGGGCGCGAGCGUUGUCCGGAUUUAUUGGGCGUAAAGAGCUCGUAGGCGGCUUGUUGCGUCGGCUGUGAAAACCCGCGGCUUAACCGUGGGCUUGUAGCCGAUACGGGCAGGCUAGAGUUCGGUAGGGGAGACUGGAAUUCCUGGUGUAGCGGUGAAAUGCGCAGAUAUCAGGAGGAACACCUGCGGUGUAGACGGCUUACUGGACCAUAACUGACGCUGAGGCACGAAAGCGUAGGUAGCAAACAGG